ACAGCAACUCUGGGCUUUAAGUGGCUUAAUUUGCGGGAGGUCGCGUGUUGGUGUGAGCCAGACCUUGAAUCGGAAUCUGCCUUUAUAUCCCACAGCUACCUACUGGGUUACUCUGGGCAAGUGACUUCCCUUUUAUUAUCUGGCUGCACAACACACGUUACGAAGGUCGCCCUGGUGAAUAUGAGGGCAAGUUUUUCUGGAGGAUGGGUUUUAGGGUCAUUCAGGUAUUAAGUGGUAAUUGGAGACUAUAGGAUCUGUUUUCUUUUGGUCUUCAGAAUGAUGAGUUUCAGUAGGCGUUAAUGAUCUGCAGGAUUUAGGUGAGUUUUAGGGCAGAGCAGAGCUUGGGCUAUCCUGUGACACAGUGCCCUGUGGCCCUUAUCGAAGCUGCUGCUGCUUCCACGUAGCUGCUGCAGUCAAAAAGGAGCCCAGAGUGACAGUUUUCCUUGACGGUCGCCGUUCUGUUUGCUGUAACUGAUCUGCAACAUUUCGGGAAAAGACAGUUUCGAUUGUACCUGCUGUUUCUCAGCUGUUCCAGGUGAAGAUGGCUGGAUGGCUCAGAUUGCUUUCUGGUGAGUGAGGACCCAAGCCAUGGGAGUGAUUGGAACAUAAGCACUUCAGGACAUGGCUGUCACCACAUUUCCUGGCUGUGUCUGGUACUGAAAAAGCUAAGACGUCAGCUUGUUGCUGUCCCUGUGCUUUAAAAUAAGAUGUCAUCAGUGAGCUGUCUUCAUCUGUGAUUGAUGAUCUACGGGGUUGGGAGAGAAGCUGUGUAGGAAGAAGCUAAAAGACCAGUUUGUGGGGGCCAAGAACAGAGACCAAGUAACAGUAAAUCCCCUCAGACCACCCCUCCACCACCCACCCCCUAUGCUCCACUGCCUGCUGCUGGUUCUUGAAACGCCUUUGCCCACCCCUUAUCUGGGGCUGGUCCCCUGUCCACCCUGCCCUGCAGCGUGGAGGACUGUCAUAAUAAACUCUUAAUGUAA